rnacentral:tRNA from 1 species
GGAGAGGUGGCUGAGUGGUUGAAAGCGGCGGUCUCGAAAACCGUUGGGGGUUCACGCCUUCCGCAGGUUCGAAUCCUGUCCUCUCCGCCA